AUGUCGGUGGCGCCUGAGUCCAUUGUGUCGGUGGUACCUGUGGCUGGUGAUGGUGAGGCGGUCAGUAUGUUGGCGCCUGAUCCUUCAGCGCCCAGCCAGCCGCCCGCCUCUGUGGAUCGUGGAGGUUCUGACGUUGCGGUUACCGGCUCGCAUGUGGCUGUGAGGCACGAGGCAUCUGUGCGCGACAAGGUUGAUGAGAUUCUCUUCGAGAUUGAGAUUCACAGUUUGCUCAAACAUUUGGAGAGGGCUAGCCCUGGAUCUGGCAAGACGAUUGUGGAGGAGGCUCUCAGGAGCAAAGCAAAGAAGAGUGGCGCCACAGGAAAGGUGUCCGCAGCAGCUUGA
rnacentral:rRNA from 1 species